GUCAUAUUUAUGUCGAGCUCUUCUGAUGUCGUAUGCACUCUGCUAUAUUCAGGGCAGGAAUGAACCUACCAGGGACAUAUUCUAUGGCUUGCCUGGAGUCAUUUCAGAUGCUGGCAGGAGGACUGUCUGGAACUGACAACACUAGCCGUGAUUACUGAGGAGACACUUUUGUUCACAUACUUUUUGGGGAUUCAGAAGAUACAUUCAGAUGAGGAUGUGACAUCCAUCAUUGCACAUUUGUGCUGUAAUGUCAGGUGAG